rnacentral:rRNA from 1 species
GACGAACGCUGGCGGCGUGCCUAAUACAUGCAAGUAGAACGCUGAAGGAGGAGCUUGCUCUUCUGGAUGAGUUGCGAACGGGUGAGUAACGCGUAGGUAACCUGCCUGGUAGCGGGGGAUAACUAUUGGAAACGAUAGCUAAUACCGCAUAAAAUUGAUUAUUGCAUGAUAGUCAAUUAAAAGGUGCAAUUGCAUCACUACCAGAUGGACCUGCGUUGUAUUAGCUAGUUGGUGAGGUAACGGCUCACCAAGGCAACGAUACAUAGCCGACCUGAGAGGGUGAUCGGCCAAACUGGGACUGAGACACGGCCCAGAAUCCUACGGGAGGCAGCAGUAGGGAAUCUUCGGCAAUGGACGGAAGUCUGACCGAGCAACGCCGCGUGAGUGAAGAAGGUUUUCGGAUCGUAAAGCUCUGUUGUAAGAGAAGAACGAGUGUGAGAGUGGAAAGUUCACACUGUGACGGUAUCUUACCAGAAAGGGACGGCUAACUACGUG